rnacentral:rRNA from 1 species
GACGUAGGGCGCGAGCGUUGUCCGGAUUUAUUGGGCGUAAAGAGCUCGUAGGCGGCUUGUCGCGUCGUUCGUGAAAACCUGCAGCUCAACUGCAGGCUUGCGGUCGAUACGGGCAGGCUGGAGUUCGGUAGGGGAGACUGGAAUUCCUGGUGUAGCGGUGAAAUGCGCAGAUAUCUGGAGGAAUACCGGUGGCGAAGGCGGCAUCCUGGACCGACAUUGACGCUGAGGAGCGAAAGCCAGGGGAGCAAACGGG